rnacentral:miRNA from 1 species
AUCCUUACUCGAAUCCUCGCUCCUCCGCCGGAGAGGACGCCCGGGCUCGGGCGGGGCGGGGCUGAGCGGAGCGGGGCGGGGCUGGGCGGGGCUGG